rnacentral:pre_miRNA from 1 species
CAAUCUCCAUCUUCCACCGUUGGAUCGAGAAAUGGACGUCCGAGAUUCGUCCACGUCACCAUGAGUUAAAAAUUAACUCGCAGAUUCACCCCUGAGUUAAAAUUUAAUGAGAGUUAAUUUUUUAACUCAUAGUGACGUGGACGAAUCUCGGACGUCCAUUUCUCGAUCCAACGGUGGAAGAUGGAGAUUG